UUUGAUUCAUGGCUCAGAUUGAACGCUGGCGGCAGGCUUAACACAUGCAAGUCGAGCGGGGGAAGGUAGCUUGCUACUGGACCUAGCGGCGGACGGGUGAGUAAUGCUUAGGAAUCUGCCUAUUAGUGGGGGACAACAUCUCGAAAGGGAUGCUAAUACCGCAUACGUCCUACGGGAGAAAGCAGGGGAUCUUCGGACCUUGCGCUAAUAGAUGAGCCUAAGUCGGAUUAGCUAGUUGGUGGGGUAAAGGCCUACCAAGGCGACGAUCUGUAGCGGGUCUGAGAGGAUGAUCCGCCACACUGGGACUGAGACACGGCCCAGACUCCUACGGGAGGCAGCAGUGGGGAAUAUUGGACAAUGGGGGGAACCCUGAUCCAGCCAUGCCGCGUGUGUGAAGAAGGCCUUAUGGUUGUAAAGCACUUUAAGCGAGGAGGAGGCUACUUUAGUUAAUACCUAGAGAUAGUGGACGUACUCGCAGAAUAAGCACCGGC
rnacentral:rRNA from 1 species